rnacentral:lncRNA from 1 species
AUGGAGUUGGUUAGAAAAUAAGUUUUUAAAAGAUUUAUUAUCUUUCAUAUAUCUUGGGAUGGGUUUUACAUUAUUUAAGUAUUCCAUAAUUUAUUAAUUGAUUGAGUUUUCCAUAAAUUGGUUAAACAAAUAAAUUUUCAUAUCUUUAGAAUCAAUUAGUGCUGUUCAAAUAAUUGGAAGAAUUUUUGGAAGCUAAUAGAUUGAAGUUUUAAAAUGAAUAUGGAUUUUUUUUUUAAUUGCAUGAAAUUAUGGAAGUAAUUUAUUAGGCACUUGAACAUUACAAAUAAUACAAUAAUACAAGCAGCACAGUUUGGCUCCUUAUGCGUAACCUGGGACCAAAAAUAUGGUAAAAGGAAUAACCAUAUUCACUGAUAAGAAUUUUAGAGAAUAAGUGGCAUAUUCAAUGGCAGAUGAAGUGCCAUGUAAACAGACUACCAUAGCCAAUAAUAAUCUGCAAUUAUGAAAAUGAUACGAAAUAUUCUAAAACCUAGAGGCCUCCAAAAAUCCUUUGGAAAGAAGAUUUUUAAAGAGAGAAUAUUAAAAAAACAAACACAAACGGAAAUCAAAAGAUUUUAAUUCACAAGACUCAAAUUUUGACAGGUCCAACAACUAACUGGAGAUAAGUCGCCUAAUAUAAGAUAGGUCUAUUAACCAAGAUUUAUUAUCAAGAAAUGUUUUCUCAAAACUCUUCAAAAGAGUAAAGGGAACCAGAGUUUCAAGGGAGUAAGCUAAGUCGACUUGUUGAAAUCUCUUAAAUCUAUUAACCAAUAAUUGUUAUCAAGAAACAAUCUCAAAACUCUGUCAAAACAUUUCACAGUAACAUUUGCUCUCUAAAUCUCGUAAAUGCUAUAUUACCAUGAAUUUAUAUUAUUGGUAAUUUGAAAUGUCCUUACCGGUUAAAGACUGGUAUUGAGCACCAACCAUUUAAUUCCCACAUAGGGCAAGUAUUUUAGCAUUUUAUGUUUUCAGUAAACAUUUAGCACCUACUACUCUUCUUGGUAAAAGGCAAUUGAUCAAGGAACAAAAAGUACAAUUCUUUCCCAAACUCCCACAAUUAUCAAUCACUUUUAUGAAACCAUUAUAUGAUAUCCACCAUUAGCAGGCACACGAGACCUACCCAAACACUCCCCCCCCCUAAACAAUCAUAUUAUACAGUUGUGGCAUGAAAUGCCCUUGUUACAAACUUCUGAAUAGAAAAACCACAAUUUAUAGGGACAUACUUAGAACUUAUGUAUUGAUGUUGGUCAAAUAUGAAGGCCUACAUUUGAACUGUAUACAGACUUUAGAUUUCCACAGAUAUAGUAAUGAAAAGGAAAACAAAUGAAAAGGAAAACGAAAUAAAACAUUCUUCUAAAUGAACACACUUUUCUUCUAUUUUCUGAAAACUUGAACUCAAGGAACCAUUCUUCAAUAAAAAGAAGUUAUUUUUCUUUGAUUUUCUGAAUAGAAACGUAGCAUAAAAGAACGAUCUUGGCAUUUAAAUGAAAAUCUUAACCAAGUAUAAAUCAAAAGGCAAGGUUAAGUUUGAACAGAUGUCAAAUCCCCUUGGCUGUCAAAAAAAUCCAAAACAAAGACUACAAAAUAAAAGCAUCAAAUCUCAAUAUACAAUAUCAAUUAAGGGAAAUUUUCAUCCACAACCGAGAUCAGAAAUUCUUAUAUAAUCACUUUGAAGCUAGCCAAAAACAAAUCAAUUAUACAUACAAGUACAUAUAAUAAACUUACUUGGAUAAGAUUUUGCAACUCGGUGGGGUUCUGAUAAGUAGAAUUCAUUGUUUUACGUCUUGAUUUCACACUCUCCAGAUAGAUAUUUUUUAGUUUCUAAUUUUGAAGGUAUGAUUACAGAUUCAGGGG